rnacentral:rRNA from 1 species
CAGCAGCCGCGGUAAUACGAAGGGACCUAGCGUAGUGGGAAAUACGGGUUAAAGGAGUUCGUAGGUGGUAAAAAAGUUGGUUGUGAAAUCCCGAAGCUUAACUUCGGAACUGCAAUCAAAACUUUUUAGCUAGAGUAUGAUAGAGGAAAGCAGAAUUUCUAGUGUAGAGGUGAAAUUCGUAGAUAUUAGAAAGAAUACCAAUUGCGAAGGCAGCUUUCUGGAUCAUAACUGACGCUGAGGAACGAAAGCAUGGGUAGCGAAGAGGAUUAGAUACCCUCGUAGUCCAUGCCGUAAACGAUGUGUGUUAGACGUUGGGAAUUUAUUUUCAGUGUCGCAGCGAAAGCAGUAAACACACCGCCUGGGGAGUACGACCGCAAGGUUAAAACUCAAAUGAAUUGACGGGGACCCGCACAAGUAGUGGAGCAUGUGGUUUAAUUCGAAGAUACGCGCAGAACCUUACCAACACUUGACAUGUUCGUCGCGACUCUAAGAGAUUAGAGUCUUCGGUUCGGCCGGACGAAACACAGGUGCUGCAUGGCUGUCGUCAGCUCGUGUCGUGAGAUGUUGGGUUAAGUCCCGCAACGAGCGCAACCCUCACUUUUAGUUGCCAUCAUUUAGUUGGGCACUCUGAAAGAACUGCCAGUGAUAAGCUGGAGGAAGGUGGGGAUGACGUCAAGUCCUCAUGGCCCUUACGUGUUGGGCUACACACGUGCUACAAUGGCAUUUACAAUAGGAAGCAAGAUGGCGACGUCAAGCAAAUCCUAAAAAGAUGCCUCAGUUCGGAUUGUACUCUGCAACUCGAGUACAUGAAGCUGGAAUUACUAGUAAUCGCGGAUCAGCGCGCCGCGGUGAAUGCGUUCCCGGGUCUUGUACACACCGCCCGUCACACCAUGGAAGUUGGUUCUACCUUAAGGCAAGGCUUAAAAACUUGACCCACGG